rnacentral:tRNA from 1 species
GCCGAGGUAGCUCAGUUGGUAGAGCAGCGGUAUCGUAAACCGCGGGCCGUGAGUUCGACUCUCACCCUCGGCUCCA